rnacentral:rRNA from 1 species
UACAGAGGUGGCAAGCGUUGUUCGGGAUUACUGGGCGUAAAGGGCGCGUAGGCGGCCUUCUAAGUCAGACGUGAAAUCCCCAGGCUUAACUUGGGAACUGCGUCUGAUACUGGGAGGCUUGAGUGCGGGAGAGGGAUGUGGAAUUCCAGGUGUAGCGGUGAAAUGCGUAGAUAUCUGGAGGAACACCGGUGGCGAAGGCGGCAUCCUGGACCGACACUGACGCUGAGGCGCGAAAGCUAGGGGAGCAAACGGG